AGUUUCGUAUUCAAUUAUGAUUUUAAAUUGCAAAUUUAAAGGUGAUUUCUAAUCCGGGACUA
rnacentral:tRNA from 1 species